rnacentral:rRNA from 1 species
GGCCUUCGGGUUGUAAACCUCUUUCAGCACAGAACGAAGCUGAUCCUUUUUGGGGUGGGUGACGGUAUGUGCAGAAGAAGGACCGGCCAACUACGUGCCAGCAGCCGCGGUAAUACGUAGGGUCCGAGCGUUAUCCGGAAUUAUUGGGCGUAAAGGGCUCGUAGGCGGUUUGUUGCGUCGGGAGUGAAAACCCAGGGCUUAACUCUGGGCUUGCUUCCGAUACGGGCAGACUUGAGGUAUUCAGGGGAGAACGGAAUUCCUGGUGUAGCGGUGAAAUGCCCAGAUAUCAGGAGGAACACCGGUGGCGAAGGCGGGUUCUCUGGGAAUUACCUGACGCUGAGGAGCGAAAGUGUGGGGGAGCGAACAGGAUUAGAUACCCUGGUAGUCC